rnacentral:lncRNA from 1 species
UGAAAAAGAUUUUAGUGAACUACAAUAUUAUAAUAAAAAAAUUAUAAAUGGAUUUAGUAACAUAAAAAAAAUAGUAGGAGAUAUAUAUAAGGAAAAAAUAAACAACAACAGUUUGAUUAAUAAUUUAUCUGAUAAUAUUUUGGCUGGUAACAUUUUUUCAAGCAAUCAAUCGGGGAAUACCCACGAUAGUACUAACUACUUUAAUGAUAACAACUUUGAUGAUAACAACUUAAGUAACAAUUUUAGUAACAACUUUCUGAGUAAUAGUAAAAAUGAUUUAAGCUGGGAUUAUCCAAACAUCGUACACAUAAACAAGAGUAGUGACGAUAUGAGUGACAGUAAAAAAAUAUAUUUAUCAAAAAUAGUGCCUUGGAAAAAAGCAGACAUAAUGAUUUCAAAAAUAUAUCGUAUAAAAUAUAAUCAGGGGUUUCCUAUAAAUUUACCGAAUGAGGAAAUAAAUAAAAAUGUUUAUAAAAAAAUAAUCGAAUUAAAUGUUAAUAAAACAAAAAUCUUAAAUACUAAUAUAUUAGAAAACUAUAAUUUCAAUUGGGAAAAAAAGAAAGAACAAAGUGAAAAUAUAAUGAAAGAAGAUAACAAUUUAAAAAUAAUGAAAAAUUAUUUAGUACCUGUUUAUAUGUCCGAAAAAACUUUUUGGAAAGUUUAUUUUUUUAAUAUAGAUGUUAUUUAUAAUGAAUUAGCAGAUUAUAUUUACGAGCAUAAAAAUACAAAUAUGUUUAUAAAAGGUAAUACCACACCUGAACAAAAUAACAUAACAUUUAAGAUACGUGAUGCACAAAAAACAAAUAAUAAUAAUAAUACUAACAAUUUUAAUGAUUCUUAUGCUACUAAGAGUAACAAUAACAAUAACAAUUUAUAUCAUGAACCGUUUGAAAAUAAAUCACGAUAUGAAAUUAACGGUGAUUCUGAUAUGUUUUAUGAAAACCAAAAUAACAUAAAUUAUAAUUUAAAUAUUAAUCAGCACAUGUCAAAAAGUCAUAAUAACCACAUCAAAAAUAUUUUUGAUGAGUUUAAUGAUACUAAGUGUCAGGUAAAUGAUAUUAUGCAUAAAAAUGAUAAGAGCAAUGUUUUUGAGGGUAUUGAGAACAUAAAUAAUAUGCAACACGACAGAAAAAGUGAUCAAGAGACCUUC